AAAUGAUAUUUAUUGAAAAUUUUUAAAAUUACAGAAAAAAACACAGCAGAAAAAGAAAAAAGAGAAAACAAAGAGAAAACAAACCGCAUCCAACAAUGCAGAUUCAAAAAACAAAAAUACACCACAAACAGAUAAAAACAAAUCCAUCAUUCUCGAAUCCUCAACUUUCAUUACCUUCUUUCUUUGACCUCCUCCUCCUCCCUUUUUUUGUAUCCUAGUUAUUAAUUAUCGCAGCAAAUCCUUUCCAUAUUUCAUAAUAUUCUGUCAUUACAUUACCUUAAUCUAUUUUCAUCUUAUCUUAUAGAAAACCUUAAAACUUAAAACUUAAAUCUUAUUUUUACCAACUUCUCAUAACCAUAAUAUUCUUACCUAAUUCUUUAAACAUUUUUGCUAGAGCCAAGUAAUUUCGUUCCAACAUUUUUCUAACAUUCAUCAAUUUUAUAAAACAAUCCU